rnacentral:tRNA from 1 species
GGGGAUAUAGUUCAGUGGUUAAGAGCACUGGAUGCUUUUCCAGAGGACCUAGGUUCAAUUCCCAGCAACCCCC